CCUACGGGGGGCAGCAGUGGGGAAUCUUGCGCAAUGGGCGAAAGCCUGACGCAGCAACGCCGCGUGAGGGAUGAAGGUCUUCGGGUUGUAAACCUCUUUCAGCAGGGACGCGGUACCUGCAGAAGAAGCUCCGGCCAACUACGUGCCAGCAGCCGCGGUAAUACGUAGGGAGCGAGCGUUGUCCGGAAUUAUUGGGCGUAAAGAGCUCGUAGGCGGCUUGGUAAGUUGGAUGUGAAACCUCCAGGCUCAACCUGGAGUCGCCAUCCAAUACUGCAUGGCUAGAGUCCGGUAGGGGCCCACGGAAUUCCUGGUGUAGCGGUGAAAUGCGCAGAUUCAGGAGGAACACCGGUGGCGAAGGCGGUGGGCUGGGCCGGACUGACGCUGAGGACGAAAGCGUGGGGAGCGAACAGGAUUAGAUACCCUUGUAGUC
rnacentral:rRNA from 1 species